rnacentral:tRNA from 13 species
GCGGCUGUAGCUCAGCUGGAUAGAGUACUCGGCUACGAACCGAGCGGUCGGAGGUUCGAAUCCUCCCAGCCGCGCCA